rnacentral:lncRNA from 1 species
CUCAGCCUCACAAAGUGCUGGGAUUAUAGGCGUCAGCCACAGUGCCUGGCCCAUAGGGGGGUCUUAUGUGGGUGAGGGAGGGGGGCUCCUGUUGAGCAGUGAGUGGAUGAGUCAGGGCAGCUCUUUCCUCUAGCCAUCAGCAACCUCUGCCAGACCUUUGCACGGAGGCUUGGGGGAAACCCAUCAAGGCCACAGUCCUGGACAGGACCUGGGAGAGUGGCCCUGUAGGUUUGGUCAACUCAGUGUGUGUCAAUGGGAAAAACCGAGAUCAUCCCCUCAAAGUAGAGAUAGCCAGAGUGAGGCCACAGCGAUUUUAUUUGGAGAAUGAAGGGCAGAACCACAGAGAUCUCAGGAGGGAGGGCAAAGGUAACUCAUCGUCAUCCACAGAGAGGGGACUCAGGAUUACGCUGUGCGUCCAGGCCAUCUUCCCUCCCAGCCCAGCCUUGGCACAAGUCGGCCCCAGGAUCAUCAUGUGAUAGAGCCUGAAGCCUGUCUCCCCAAGUCCCUGGAAAGUAGACAUCUGUGACAAUCCUCCCGAAUCCCAGGGCACAGGGAGCAUGGCUGAGCACGCCAGACUGCCUGGGCUCAAAUUCUGUCCUGCCAUGAACUGCCUGGGUGUCUUUGGACAAGUCAUUUGACAGCUCUGAGCCUCCGCCUUCUCAUCUGAGGACAACAGGAAUAAUGAGGGUACCCACCUCAUGGGGAUGUGAUGAGGCUUAAAGAAGAAAAUGCAUGCAAAGUUUUAGCACAGUACCUGGCAGUGAGUAUAUGUGCAAUAAUAUUAAUUAUUACUAUUUUAUCAAGAGGCCUGGAUUCUGGUCCCAGUUCUGCCACUGUUUUCCCUCCCUGGGCCUGCUUGAGUUUCUGUCUAUAAAGUAGGUGUUAAUUGAUUAAAUGAGAUAAUGGAUGCCAAAGAAGCUUCUGAGAUGAGUGAUUAUUUCUGCCCUUUGAAGUUCACUUCCCCGAGGCUGCAGGGUGUUGUCACCCCCACUCUGUCAGGUCUUUACUGGGCUCUCCGUCUAGGCCAGGACCCGUUGCUGAAGGGUCAGCCCAUCUCCUCCCUUCUGCCCACAAGGCAGAAU